rnacentral:rRNA from 1 species
CCUACGGGAGGCAGCAGUGAGGAAUUUUCCGCAAUGGGCGAAAGCCUGACGGAGCAAUACCGCGUGAGGGAUGAAGGAUUUUGGUCUGUAAACCUCUUUUCUCAAGAAAGAAGUUCUGACGGUACUUGAGGAAUAAGCAUCGGCUAACUCCGUGCCAGCAGCCGCGGUAAUACGGGGGAUGCAAGCGUUAUCCGGAAUGAUUGGGCGUAAAGCGCCUGUAGGUUGUUUAUUAAGUCCGUUGUUAAAGCCUAGGGCUUAACCCUAGAAAAGCAAUGGAAACUAGUAGACUAGAGUAUGGCAGGGGUAGAGGGAAUUUCUAGUGUAGCGGUGAAAUGCGUAGAUAUUAGAAAGAACACCGGUGGCGAAAGCGCUCUACUGGACCAUUACUGACACUCAGAGGCGAAAGCUAGGGUAGCAAAAGGGAUUAGAUACCCCUGUAGUCCUAGCCGUAAACGAUGGAUACUAGAUGUUGUGCAUUAUGUACAGUAUCGUAGCUAACGCGUUAAGUAUCCCGCCUGGGGAGUACGCUCGCAAGGGUGAAACUCAAAGAUAGUACGGNGNGAGAGUGUCGACGACGACGACGAGGAGGAGGAG